rnacentral:rRNA from 1 species
UACGUAGGGUGCAAGCGUUGUCCGGAAUUAUUGGGCGUAAAGAGCUCGUAGGCGGUUUGUCGCGUCUGCUGUGAAAACCUGGGGCUUAACCCUGGGCCUGCAGUGGGUACGGGCAGACUAGAGUGCGGUAGGGGAGACUGGAAUUCCUGGUGUAGCGGUGAAAUGCGCAGAUAUCAGGAGGAACACCGGUGGCGAAGGCGGGUCUCUGGGCAGUAACUGACGCUGAGGAGCGAAAGCGUGGGGAGCGAACAGG